rnacentral:rRNA from 1 species
AGUGAACGCUGGCGGUAGGCCUAACACAUGCCAGUCGAACGGCAGCACAGCAAGAGCUUGCUCUUACGGGUGGCGAGUGGCGGACGGGUGAGGAAUACAUCGGAAUCUACUUUUUCGUGGGGGAUAACGUAGUGAAACUUACGCUAAUACCGCAUACGACCUACGGGUGAAAGCAGGGGAUCUUCGGACCUUGCGCGAUUGAAUGAGCCGAUGUCGGAUUAGCUAGUUGGCGGGGUAAAGGCCCACCAAGGCGACGAUCCGUAGCUGGUCUGAGAGGAUGAUCAGCCACACUGGAACUGAGACACGGUCCAGACUCCUACGGGAGGCAGCAGUGGGGAAUAUUGGACAAUGGGCGCAAGCCUGAUCCAGCCAUACCGCGUGGGUGAAGAAGGCCUUCGGGUUGUAAAGCCCUUUUGUUGGGAAAGAAAAGCAGCAGGUUAAUACCCCGCUGUUCUGACGGUACCCAAAGAAUAAGCACCGGCUAACUUCGUG